CAAGAUGUAAGGACUGUCAGCUCCAGCACCAUGUCUGCCUGCACGCCACCUAAACCUCUGAAACUAUGCCGUUGUAACAUGGAAGUCAAGCCCAGCUUCCUGGCUGUUGUUACAGGGGAACUGAGGCAGGAUCUCUCACGGAACCUGGAACUUGCUAAUUCUGCAAGACUAGCUGGCCAGCCAGCCUCAGCAGCCUUUGUCUCUACCUAUACCACUUCAAGUACUGGGGCCAUUCUUGGUUCAGUGUCUCACUCUACAGACAGAACCUAUCAUGGGAGCUCCUUGGAUGGGAAAAGAGAAGAGAGAGGACUCUGCCUUCGUUAGGCCAGUUUCCUUGGCCUAUGUGAAGCUGGACAGCCUGACACAUACUGUUCAUUCCAAUGACAAUUGGUGCUCUGCCCUUGCACAGCCCUGCUCCACCCCAAUCCAACUGCCAAAAACCCAUUUUUUUAGACUUCAAUUAGCCUUACCUGGGCAGCACAGCAGCUUAUACUGGUUUUCUUCUCUGUUCCUUGAUUGGUAAAAAGUCUACUCAGCUUGCUAUGUGCAAGCAAUAUUACCAACUCUUAUGUAAAAGCAGAUCUCUCUCUCUCUCUCUCUCUCUCUCCACACACACACACACACAUAUAUAUAUGUAGAUAGAUAGAUAGAUAGAUAGAUAGAUAGAUAGAUAGAUAGAUAGAUAUAGAUAUGUCAUUGAAGGAAAGAAGAAAGGAGAAGGGAAAAAAGAAAAGAAGGAAGGAAGAGAAAGAGAAAAAGCCAACAAAAUUAUAAUCACUACCUGAUUGUAGUGUCUGCCAAUUUUUAUGCUGUAUAUUCCUUGGAUCUGGGAAAAGAUGCUUAGUAUCGGUUCUUAAGAGCAAGUCCAGUUGGCUCCAGCAUGUCACUGGAAUUUGUAGUCUGGUCUUAUUAUGGUGUAGUUUUCAUGCAGACUCCACAAACAUUCAAGAAAGGGAUUCAGGGGGCCUAUCUUAUAGUUGUUGGUUUAGUUGGUAUAGUCCUGUGUUUGUCAUAUAGCCAGGAUAUUUGCUUUCUAGAAUCUAUAGUGUUGGUUAUUGGGAGAUUACCCUCUCUAGACCAGCUUAAUGGACUUUUUGGAGGUAGAUAACUAAAAAUGUCCUUUAACAAUCAUAAAGCACAGAGCCCCUGGCUCCAAGAGAAGCCAGACUACCCAGUGAGAUACAGAGCAAGUACAUACACCAACUUUUUUUAUUCUGGGAACAGGGAUGAGGACCCAAGGACUUCUAUAUCAACACCUCUCCACUCUUCCACUCUUUUGCUUCUCAAGGUCUGUGAUGGUAUUUACAGGAAGGAUUAAGUGGAGGAGGCACAUUUCCAUAUAUAAGAGAUCUCAUAUAUAAGGAGGUCUGAUGGACAAAUUGAUGCUUUUGCCUAUCUGCCUUCACUCCUUGUUCAUGAGUGCAUCUACUCUAUUGCUGCUGCUAUGGUAACCUUUUGCUGACAUCAGAGCCCAGCUUCUUCAGUCUUCUAAUGUGGACUAAAACCCAGCAGCUCUCCAGACUUCCUCCAGGCCUUCAGUGUCACAUAGAAGUGCUGAGGAAUCCAGCCUCAUGAUCUGAGCAUGAUGGGAUGCAGACAGCCAUUGCUGGACACAACUCAUAUCAUGUGAUCCAGUCUAAUACAUUUCUUUUCACGAUAUAUAUUAAUUCUAUCAGUUUUUUGUAGAGUGUCUUGACUAAUAAAGGUAUAAGAUUAUUAGUCACAUAAAAUGCAGCUAUAAUGGAGAAUGUGCCUCAGGAGGUGUCAUUGGUAUAGAGACAGGUUUUAACAGGACAUGUCUUGGCCACUUACUACAAUCAUCUUGUGGCUAAGAACAUCACAAGCCAGAGUUAAGCUAUAGUUCUUGGCAUAUUUUAUGACAUUAUGGCCAUGGAGAGUGGCUAAAAGUAGUGUGAGAUUGAUGUGAGGGCUCUUGGGGAUGGCACACAAAUACCAUGUCAGUGCUUGUAGGCAGGGGAAGAAAAGAAACCAGACAUGAGUCUCAUGGAGGGCAACCGACCAGCUUCACUCCAUCCUGCUCUGCUCUUUGUUGCUUUCAAUUCCUGUUUGGCUCUGGCACAACGUUUUGGGCCUGGACCAAGCAAGUUUCAUGAUUGUUGCCCACUGUCUAGACUUAAUAGUAAGUUUGCAGGUGGCUUUACUGAAGGCCUAAGACAUGCUGGCAUGAAAUGGCUGCACUUUGGUUUCUGAGGUGCUUAUGGGAGCGGACUUGGUAAAGUUUGUCACUCAUGACAAUGGGCUGUUUUAGAUACAUGGUUCCAAAAGGGUGACCCUAGACAUUUUAAGAAGUGAGGUGGGACCAAAAGACUUCGGUUCUUAUAGUUAGUCAUCUUGUAAUAUGAACUUGAAGGCUGUGUACGCAGCUUUUUCUCUUUGAACUCUGAAGCAUUUCUAUGAACUAAUCUCUCUCUCUUGUCCUACCUCUCCUUAUUUCUAGAGUCCAGUUUGCUUAAGAUGACCUCAUCAGACUUCCUUCCUACACAAGCUUCUCUGGAUAUUGCGUCCGCCAUUGUGGUGGUUGAUAUUUGACCAUCAGCUUGACAGGAUGUAGAAUCACCCUCAAAGUGUGCGCCCGAACAGCACCCCUUCCUUAGGCAUUAUGUCACAACAGUGAGAAAAAGUAACGAAUACAGUCACUUGAGCGUUAGUAUGAACUAAUGGUACCUUAACCUGUGAUGUUACACUUAAAGUAUCCCAGCAGAGGAACUCUCCCAGAAGCAACAGAAUAAAACCCAGGCACGUUCAGCUUCUUUCAUCCAUCCCAAUACAAACACGGGUGCAAGAAGUAGAUAUUUUAAGACAAUUGCACUAAACUAUUCCUUUACACAGAGUGAGAAUAUGUUGUUCUUUCACUUCUGUUCGUAGUUCCAUCACACUGGCAUCUCAUCCUUUGAAAAUCUGAGAGUGUAGAACGAGAAAGCUGAAAGUUCAGCUCAGAAGGAGUCUAUGUAACUUACACCAAGUUUCUAAAAGUGUGCCAUGUUAUAUAAUCCAGGGGAAGGCAUGGAAAAGUACUAGCUGAUGUGGAGCUGGAGGCUGUCCUGCCUCUGACUCACUGAGGCAAAAGCAUUUGAAUUAAGAUACAUCUCAGAACAGCCAGACGAAGUCCAUUCAUCCUCCAGGAUCUCACACAUUCACUGUGGGGGAGUAAAAUGCAAGGCUAGGAAACUGGGAAGAGAGGUGAGUUCUCAAAGUUGGCUCCUGCUCCUCUUGAGGCCAGCGUUCGAGGACUUUUCUAGUCCUUCCAGCCAUCCAGUGCUGUCUUCUGUUUCUAUACCAUCACCCCAGUGUGGGAAAGAUGACCUUCAACUGUCCCCUAGUUUCUGUACUGUGGCCUCAGACCCUGUUCUGGGUUGCAGAGUAUUAUUGCAAAUGGAAAAGUUAUGUAGAACUGUGCCAUUUUGUCAGCUAGUCAAAUAACACAUCUUUAUGUGUAGUUCCUAUAUAUGCAGUUGCACAUGUAUCUGUGUGUAUUUGGAGGCCAGAGUUCAACCUCAAGUGUUGUUCUUCAGAAGCCAUCCACCUUGUGUUUUGUUUUGAGCCCGAGUCUUUCGCCGGCUUGGGGCUCACCAAUAGGCUAGACUGGGGCCAGUGAGUUUUAGGGAUCCAACCACCUCUACUUUCCCAGUUCUGGAAUUAUAAGCACAUGCCACCAUGACUAACUUCUUAUUCUUUUUUAAAAAUUAUAUGUAGAUGUGUGUGUCUGUACAGGUGAGAGCAGGUGCCUGUAGAGACCAGAAGAAGGUAUCAAAUCCCUUGAUGCUGGAGUUACAGGCAGUUGGGAACUGCCUGAUGUAGGUGCUAGGAACUGAAUUCAGGGUGUCAUACUGGCCUGGAACUUGCCAAGUCUACUGGGCUGGCCCACUAGUGAGCCCCACCGAUGUGCCUGUCUGUGCCUCCCCAGCAUUGGGAUUGGAAGCUCAAGAGACUGUGCCUGGGGUCCUGCCUCCAGGACUCCCUUCUCCACACAGGAAGUGACCAAACACUCACAGUGUCUUUCCCCUGUGUGUAUAACUUACUUUUUCUGCUCUUGUGUCCAAAUAUAAAGCAACUCAAGAGGAGAAGGGCUUAUUUUGGCUUACAGUUUGAGGGGUGACAGUCCAGUACUGUUGGGAAGUCAUGGUCGCAGCAACAUGUGAUGACUCCCAAAUGUGAGCAUUACAGGUGUGAGCUGUUAUGCUACUCAAAUGGUUGUCAGUUUAUGUUCAAGAAGGGCCACAUAGUUUGGGAAUGCUUUUUCUCUUUAAAUGUUUGAGUCAAGGAGCUUACUAUGUUGUGCAAACUGGCCUCAAACUCUCCGUGGUUCUUCUGCCCAGCCUCCUGAGUGCUGGGAUUACAAGUAAGAUGCUAGAAUUCCAGAGCUGAAAGGGAACCAAGAAUACAGGGUCUAGUCACUUAUUUUAAGGAUAAGAAAGCAGGAGUGGGUCUCCCAGAGGGAAGUAGUCAAUACAAGACUCUUAGCAGGAUCUCUGGCUUCCAAACCAGUGACGCUUUCACUGUGUCAAAUAGUACUCUGUGUUUCAAUUGUCAAUCUUCCUGCCUUAAUCUACUUCCUAUAGGAAGCCAUUCUGGUGUCUGGCCAGUCCCUGAAUGAUCUCUGGCCCCAAUGAAACUGGUGGCUAGCUACUAUUCCUUAUUGUAUUUGCACUAGUAAUUAAAAAGCUGUGAAUCAGACACUUGGGAACUAUCCAGCUCCUCACCCCCAUCUUAGGAUAUUACCUAUGACAAACUAAAUAAAAGGAAGUUCUUAAAAUAUGCCUACAGUUAAGCAAUCAUCCAGCUACCUGAUGGCUCUUUUUUUUCUCCAAAAUUAGCUUUUUAUUGACUCUUUGUGGAUUUCAUAUUAUGCAUCCCAAUUCCACUCAUCUCCCCAUCGCCUCAAUUCUACCCUCUGCCCUUACAACCCCCCAAACAAAAUUUAAAAGUAAAACAAAACAAACAAACAAACAAAAUCUCAGCAUGGAAGCUGUAGUACAACCCAGUGAGUCACACAGUUUACCCUUCAGUCCAUACAGUUUUACUUGUAAGUGUUCACUGCAAUGAGUCAUUGGUCUGGUUUGAGGCCUCUGGCGUCUGCUAUACUAUCAAUACUGAGUCCUCACUGGGAUGCCUCUUGGAUAUCCUAUUAUUGCCUUCUGUCAUGGAGAUCCUUAGCUUUGAAUCUGCAGGUCUGGACCCUUCUGCAGGUCUGGACCCUUCACACGCUCCAGCAGUUCACAGAUGAGGUGGGUGUUGGGGUGGGCUACCUUAUAGUCCUGGUUCUGGGCCUGGGUGGUAGCUGCGUUCGUCAGUCUGCCAGCUCUCCCUCAUCAUCACCACCCGAAUGAGCUCUCCAGCACUGCCCUGGCUAGCUCACCCAAUGUAGCAGACAGCAAGGAGUGGGCCGGUUCUCCUGCUCUCAUGCCCUCGGGUCCAGCUCGCACUCACACCACUCGGCUCAGGGCCAGCUCUACUGUUUUGCCCAGGUGAGAUGCAGGGCCUGCCCUCUGGAUUGCUGCACUCAAUGAGAGGCAGGGCCAGCUCUUCUGUUCUCAUGCCCCCAAGGUCAGCUCUCCUGCCUGUCGCAGGUGGCAAGGGGUGGGGGAGGGCAUAUUUCCCUUACCUUUGCCAUGAUGCCUCUUUUUAAAAUGGAUAUAUGUGUAUGUGUGUUCAUGUACUGUGGUGAUAUUUUAUUUGUGCUCUAAUAAAUAAAGCUUGCCUGGAGAUCAGAGGAAAAAGCCAGCCAUUAUAUUAAACAAAAGUCAGGCAAUGUGAGCAUAUGCCUUUAAUCCUAUCACUUGGCAGGCAGGGAUCUAUCUGGAUCUCUGUGAAUUCAAGGGCCACACUGGGGAACUGAGCCAGGUAUGGUGACACACGCCUUUAAUCCCAGCACCAACCAUAGAAGUCUGGAGGUCGUUACAAACAGACAGGAAGUGACAGAGCUGGGCAGGAAGAGGAAGUGAUGUAGCUGGGCUGAGAGAGUGAGUGAGAGAACAGAACAGAAAGGCAUAUAGGCAUGGGUAUAUAGGAGUAGGUCUUUUUGGAA